GUUUAUCUUGCAGUGGAAGUAGUAGUCAUGCUCAUGUAAACUCCAGGAUAUCCGUUCAUUCACCUUUGGAUAUGGGACACAUAGAUCUGCCAGAGCUGGAAACUGAAGACACAUUGGAACUACAAUUCCAGCAGCUCAGUCUUCCCCAGUUUUGUGUCUCCAUUCUGGAAUCAGCUGUUCCUCUCUUAAGAACAGGUAGCAGACAAGUGAUAAUAAGAGUUCUGGAAUUGCUUACAGAGGAUAUGACACUUAUUGGUGAAGCAAUUUCAACAGAUAUCUGGGAUGACAGCAGCCUUUUUGGUAUAGAUAUGG
rnacentral:lncRNA from 1 species